AACUGCGUCCUGAGCCCUACCCCUUGACCAGCCACUUAGUUUGCUCUGGAAUUCCCGUUCUCCUGAAGGGGAGAGGAGAGCCUCGCGGAAGGUCCCACGCACCCCUCAACCUGGGGUCUAGACCAGGCGGUCCCAAAGCUUCUGCGAACAGCUGUGCCCAGCAUGAGGAGGAGUGCAGGUCACCGACGGGCUAGAAUGACGUGCAGUACUAGGAAAAAGAACUGGAACAAAUAAUCCUAAAAUUUGUGUGGAACUUCAAAAGACUGAGUUGCCCAAGCAAUCUUGAGAAAAAAGAACAAAGCUGGAGAUAUGCUCCCCGAUUUCUCAAUAUGCAAUGCUACAGUCAUCAAAACGGCACUGUGUAGCUGUACAUGAACAUCUCUGCAAUUGAUCGACUGAUGAUACUUCUGUCUUACAUGAGAUCACUAAGUUACCAUGGAGUCACUCUGUGAAGAAGCCCUCUCCUUUGGGAAGAUGCCCACCCAGCAGGGAGACCUCAUGGACCAGUUCACAAUUUGUUUUCAGACAUAUUAACCCCACAAAUACAACAUAUCAUAUUAUGCCUUGUACUACCAGAGCAGUAGCCCCACCGGGGAUCACCAGAGCAGUUACCCUAGCCCCAGGUGUAUACUCCCAGCUCUGUGUUCACUGGAUACUUGUUCCCUAGAAUUUCUAAAGUACAUACAAUAAACUGUUUUCAGGAAAAAUAUUCCUGUGCCUGAGCCCAUUAGAGAUGUUGCUAUGGUUGGGUGGCUGAGCUUGCCAAGGCUAGGAUGCAAUUUUCAUGUCCACGGCUUUGAGUCCAGCUUUCAGCUCACAACUGGAGGGUGACUUGAAUGCCGCUUGGAGAUACACAAAGAUUUCUUGCUCAAGCCUGAAAUUGGAGUGUCCUUCCUCUCCUGGCUCUGCCCCCUCUUACCCUCCAGCAUCCUCCUACUUCUCCUCUAUCUUAAUCCCAGGGAUCCUCCAGCAUCUGAGCAAUACAGUGGGUGAAUGUGUGUGUAGGAACUUUGGCCAUCUCCUCCUGUGGGGCACGGUAGGCCCAGGUGAGGUCAGGAGGUAAAACAUUGAUAAACUCAUUAAGUCCUAAAUUUUUAAAAAGACAAAAACAAAUAAAAUAGAGCUGAAACUAGAGCAGUAAGCCAACAGAGUUACCUACUCUAGAGUUGACCUGGGGUAGGGGUAUGACUAUUCCACCAUCCUGUCAGAAACAGAAGCUUCUUUUAGUUCCUUUGUGUCUCAUCUCAUUCAACCUGCUGCAUGAAUAUGAAAGUGCAAUCAAUGCAUUCAUAAGAUUUUAUCAUUAUUAUUAUCAACAAAGCGCUUUAUAAAUAUAUUUCUCUUCAAGGACAUCAUUCUAUUGUAUUAGGACUUCAUGUUUCUUGCAUGCCUAGUAUAGAAGUUCUAGCAGCUGCCUGGAAUUAUUUUUUUUCUUGUGGAUAAAUAAGGCCAUCUGAGUAAAUAUGUAAUUAGGACCAUAAUGGCACAUUUUGACUGCUUUUAAUAAAUAACACCAACCA
rnacentral:lncRNA from 1 species